AAUUUUCAGUUUCAAUACAGAUGCGCCUUACGAUAGGCAACCCAUCGAACGGGAAAUUCUACCUGUUUGUUGGCAGGUAUCCAGAGAUCACUUGGGGCCCCUGAAGGGGGUCCACGUGGGUCGUUUUCACAAUAUUCUUCUCGUCAACAGUACGGAAUGCCACCUUCUCAUUGAUCAGAUCGACGCAGAUACGCAGAACCAUCAGGCUUCGGAGUAGGUAACCUGAUGGUAACACAUAAGAACGGGAGUUCUCUUUUCUACUGGUCCUGAUAAGGUUUACCUUGGAGAAUCCUCCAUGUAGGAUGCCUCCAUCCGUCAACAACUGCAUUUAAUACAGUCACAAUGCACAUCGACUGAGGCUCAGUUAUGUCCACCUCCGAGUGCCACACCAGAACAAUGGUCACCCUGACUCCGUCGCACCCGCAACUUUGGGUGUUCCAGAACCUUCUCAGGCUGCCCCGAGCCAGAUCCAGGAGUGCUUCCUCCGACGCUUUAUGGUCUCUGACGUCGUGUUGGCCCCCCUGAGCCAAUGACCCAGACACGUCAGGAAUUGGCGCAGAUUUUACCCUCGAGCCGGUGCUUCCUGGUCAUCAUCUUCGCUCUGCGUGCGCCAGUCCCAUUCUUUUUGUGAAUAGGAGCUGGCCCACCCCUUGAAUAAGACCCUACGUUGGAGCCGUCGCCCCUCUUUCGAGGAGCUUGCCCCGUUACCGGACCAGACUGGAGGGCCUGGUUUAUUGGUCCCCAGAAAGGGUUCGUUUGAAUUAUCUUCCAUACAAUUUCCAGGAGAAGUGCUAAAUUGUGGAUCACUCACCUGAGUGCUAGGGCAGGUCUUGGAACAAUCUGCGGUUUCAAGGCUGCAGGUCAAACCAAUCAGAGCCCUAGAUUAAUUUUUGCAUGUGAUUAGGUCAUUACGUAGGGCCUCUGUAAAAUUUACCUGUUUCAUUUGAUGUAUGGAACCCGAACUACAUUUAAAAUUGGCGCCUUACGAACUAAUACGAAGGCGCGAUUUAUAACACGAAAUUACGCGAGCGCGUACAAAAAAGCUGCAUCAAAAUGUCUUCACUCGCCUAAUAAAUUUCUAAUAAAUUCCUAAUAAAUGUGAAUAAAAAACAUACUGGGUGUUCAGUUAAUCAGUGUUUUGUGCUACAUUUCACAUACUAAGGUGCAGCGCAAUGAAGCAUUGGCCACCCGAUAUAAUAAACAAAACUUAACGAUUAUGCAGUCAAACAAUGAGCAUAUCAUCCUUAAUGAAUAGAAAGCUUUAUAUAAAUAUUUUGAUUUUCUUAUCAUUUUCGCCUCUACUUUCCCACUCUUACCUUUUAAUAGUAAAUGAAGACCAACCACCGGGGGAUGUCAUAUUUAACUCUUCGGUAUACAGAUUAGGCUCGGAACGACACUACCACAUAAACAAUCAUCGAACGGCCGCCUUCGUUAGUACAUUACUAAACGUAAACCCCCACAAUGGACAAGUGGCACUACGACAACAGCUCAGAUGCAACGGAAUUUUUUAUCCGAACUUAUUUACCGUGUACAUCGAUUCGACAUCUAAUAGACUCCGAGACAUAGAAUACUACAGUCUCCCUUUGAGAAUUUUUAUAGUGGGACGAGACUGCGAGUCUCAAGAUGGCGACAGGAGACGGCGAUCCACUCCCGACCUUCUGCGGGACGUGCAUCAUUCGAUCGCGUCAAAAAUAUCGGAGGCGAGGCAGUGGAUAUCGGAAACUUCGGCUUCGUUCUCAAUACCAACGACUGAUAAGUGGCAGAAAGUGUGCCUGCGACAAUCCCAAUUUAUCAAUUCCAUAUCCGCUUUCUUACCGAACACCAUUAGUAAAUUUUGCUCAAUCGACUACAUCGACGUCAGUGACGAUAGGUUUAGGAUUGAAAAGUCCCAAGGCGACCUGGUCGCGAGUCGCGACGUUUGCAUAUCGGAACCGCUCUGGAAGCUGGUCAUCUUUCUAUCCGUCCACUGCGGUGGCGGCGUGCAGAUUUUGGACGCCGACCAUCGACUGAAAAUUGUGUACCAUCAUCAGGAAUUCAACGACACGGACAUCGCGCGGCGGGUCCGUCGCGAGCUAAGGAACCAAUCGCCGUUUUUCGAACAGCAUUUGUACGUCGCGAGCGUGUUGGAAGAGUGCGAUCCCGGUCUGGUCGUGACGACCGUUAAGGCCCGAGAUCCCGAAAAUAGCCCGAUCGCUUAUUCCAUGACGAGUCUGCUGGAUUCUCGAACGCAAGCUAUGUUCGAUAUUGAUACUAAAAGUGGAGUAAUUACGACCAAAGUGAAACUGGAUAGGGAAUUGGUGGACGUGCACUAUUUUCGCGUGACUGCCACCGACGAUAGUUUCCCGCCCCGGUCUGGGACCACCAUGUUGCAGAUUAACGUUCUGGACGCGAACGAUCACUCGCCUUCAUUCGAAAUGUCGGAGUACGAGGCCAGUGUAAGGGAAGGUGUCAGUGUCGGCUCGACCGUGUUGACCUUGAAGGCCACCGAUCAAGACGCGGGGAAAAACGCCGAAGUCGAGUAUUCAAUCCAGAGCAUUAGUGGAGGUGGUAUGUCGACUGACGAGGAGAACAAUCGCGCGUUUAAGAUCGACGCCAAGUCGGGCGUUAUUGCGACUAGAACUUUGUUGGAUCGUGAAACGACCGAAGUGUAUACAAUUGUCGUGCAGGCUACAGAUCUGGCAACACCCCAAAAUGCGCGACGGUCGGCCAGCGCUAGUGUCAUUGUGAAGAUAUUGGAUGACAACGACAAUUACCCCCAAUUUUCAGAGAGGACGUACACUGUCAAUGUAAAUGAGGACGUCAACUGGGGAGAAAAUCCAGUAAUUGCGCAUAUAAAAGCUACGGAUGUCGAUCAGGGAAGUAACGCAGCAAUCAGGUACGCCAUAAUCGGUGGAAACACGCAAUCGCAAUUUGCAAUAGACAGCCUGUCCGGAGACGUCUCCCUAGUGAAACCUCUAGACUACGAGACGCUCCGCAAUUAUCGCCUAGUCAUUCGCGCUCAAGACGGCGGUAGCCCCGCCCGUUCGAAUACCACCCAACUAUUAAUUAACGUGAAGGACGUCAACGAUAAUGCGCCCCGUUUUUACACCUCGUUAUUUCAAGAGAGCGUCUCGGAAAGCGUACCUCCAAAUUACAGUGUUGUCAAAGUUCAGGCUUACGAUGCAGACGAAGGUCCUAAUGCAGAUAUUCGAUACACGAUAGCGCCACGCGAUUCGAUCGGCGCCAGUACUGAGGAAUUUCCACUUUCGAUCGACGCACAUUCCGGUUGGAUUUAUACCACGAGAGAAUUGGAUAGGGAGGAACAGUCAAAAUAUGUUUUUCAGGUAAUAGCAAGCGAUCAAGGUGUCCCACCCUUGUCAGCGAGUGCGAGCGUUAUUAUAACGGUACAAGACAUAAACGAUAACGAUCCCGUAUUCGAGCCUAAGCUUUACGAGUCUGUAAUCGCCGAAGAUGACCCCCCAGGUACCCAGGUGGCUACGGUCACGGCCACGGACGCGGACGAGGACAGUCGCCUGCAUUACGAGCUGACAAACGGCAACGUGAGGGGGAGAUUUGCGAUAACAUCGAAUAACGGUAAAGGUCUAAUUACGAUUGCGCAACCGCUCGACUACAAGCAGGAGAAGCGCUACAUUUUGACUGUUACCGCAUCGGAUUCGGGAGGACGGACCGACACCGCGACCGUAUACAUCAAUGUGUCCGACGCGAAUAACUUCGCACCGGUGUUCGAAAACGCCCCCUACUCUGCCAGCGUUUUUGAAGAUGCACCGGUGGGCACGACCGUCGUAGUCAUCUCGGCAACGGAUAACGAUGUCGGAGCAAACGCGCAAAUAACUUACAUACUUGGUGAAGAACUGAACGAUUCCGGAGGUACCUCGGAAUUUUCCAUCAACCCUCAGACUGGCGCAAUUGUAACCACGAAACUUUUGGAUAGGGAGUCGGUUAAUGGCUACCUGUUAACUGUGACCGCUCGAGACGGGGGCAAUCCUCCACUUUCGGAUACGACGGAUGUAGAAAUUUCUGUAACCGAUGUCAAUGAUAAUUUCCCAAUUUUUAAACAGCCGCUGUACACGGGGAGUGUUUUGGAAGAUGCGCUAAUAGGUACCUCUGUAGUGCAAGUUUCCGCCACAGAUGCAGAUAUAGGAUUGAAUGGCAGAAUUCGUUACACACUAAGCGAAAAAGACUUAGAAGACGGUUCGUUUGUAAUCGACCCAACCAGCGGGGUAAUUCGUACCAACAAAGGUUUGGAUCGGGAAUCGGUCGCGCUGUACGAGCUCGAGGCGUACGCGAUAGAUCGCGGUUCUCCGUCGCUAAGCAGCUCGGUACCGGUCAACAUCCGAAUUGAGGACAUUAACGAUUCGCCGCCCGCAUUCGAAAGCGACAAAAUCAUUCUUUAUAUACCGGAAAACAGCCCCAUAGGCUCCACGGUCGGCGAAAUUUACGCGAAGGACCCAGACGAAGGCGUGAACGCCAUCGUUCAAUAUUCCAUCAUCGGCGGCGACGAUUCGCAAAGUUUCUCGCUUGUAACGCGACCCGGAUCCGAAAAGGCGGAACUCAUCACCAUGACUGAGUUGGACUACGAGUCACCGAGGAAACGGUACGAUCUAAUCGUGCGCGCCGCCAGUCCACCUCUGAGAAGCGACGCGCAUGUCGAAGUAAUCGUGACCGACGUAAACGACAACGCGCCCGUUUUGAAAGACUUCUACAUACUCUUCAACAACUUUCGCGAUUGUUUUCCGACGGGUCCCAUUGGUAGAAUUCCCGCGUUCGACGCCGACGUCUCCGAUAAUCUCCGUUACAAAAUUCUAUCUGGGAACAAUGCGAACUUGGUCGCUCUCAACGAAACAAACGGACAACUGCAGUUAUCGCCGCAGUUGAACACAAAUGUACAGAAAAUUGCGUCGAUGGAAGUUUCUGUUACAGACGGUGUAAACGAUGUGAAAGCAAUAAUGCAGCUAAGCGUCCGUCUGGUCACCGAAGAAAUGCUUCUAAAUUCCAUAACUGUACGCUUCAAUCAAAUGACAAAGGAGGCCUUUCUUUCACCUUUACUGGGAUAUUUUAUCGACGGUCUUGCGGCUAUAAUUCCCUGUCCUAAAGAAAACAUCUACAUUUUCAGCAUUCAGGACGACACGGACGUUAGCGCGAAAAUACUGAACGUCAGCUUCUCGGCGAGACGACCUGAUAUUCCCAAGGAGGAGUAUUAUACCCCGCAGUACUUGCAAGAGCGCGUUUAUUUAAAUCGGGCGAUACUGGAUCGUUUGUCGACUGUUAAGAUUCUUCCAUUUGACGACAAUUUGUGUGUGAGAGAACCGUGUCUUAAUUACGAAGAGUGCGUUACAGUGUUGAAGUUUGGAAAUGCCUCUAACUUUAUUAGUAGCGAUACCGUGUUGUUUAGGCCCAUUUAUCCUGUAACGACUUUCACAUGCAGGUGUCCUAAAGGAUUUACAGGAUCACGUGAGCAUUAUCUCUGCGACACGGAGGUUAAUUUGUGCUAUUCAAAUCCUUGUCAGAAUGGUGGUGUGUGCAAGGUUAAAGAGGGCGGAUACACGUGCGUUUGUCCCGGUGGCUAUACAGGUAUUAAUUGUGAUAUUGAACUAAACGUCGAUCCCUGCAAACCGAAUAUAUGCAGAAGUGGUUCCACGUGCACACCUAAGCUGAACGGGGGCUUUCAAUGUGAAGAUUGCUUACCGCUGGCGGGUUCAGAACACUACACAUCCCUAUGCGAGCUCCGAAGCAGAAGUUUUAUAAAGAAUUCCUUUUUAACAUUUCCAAGCCUGAAACAAAGACACCGCCUGCAUUUACAGCUCAAAUUCGCCACACAGGCUCCGAACGGAUUGCUGCUUUACAACGGGAGAUACAACGAGCAACAUGAUUUCAUCGCGCUUGAAAUUGUUAAUGGAAACUUGCAGUUUUCGUUUUCUUUAGGUAGCUCCGUUUCGAGAACGAUUGCGUCAAUUCCAGACGGCGUUGUUGACGGACGUUGGCACACUGUGACGGUGAUAUACUUCAAUAAGAGCGCGACGUUAUCGAUCGACGACUGCGAUAUUUCCUUCGCUUUAAAACACGGCGAGGAGGUCGGCGGGAAAUGGAAUUGCGCCAGUUACGUCGAGCACCAAUUGGAGCCUCGUUGCACCUCGCUCACCGAAACCUGUCAUCGAUUCCUGGACUUGACGGGCCCGUUACAAUUGGGCGGACUUCCCGCUUUACCGGCGACUUUCCAACCGCACAAUCACCACUACGAGGGUUGCAUAUCCGAUUUUAAAAUCGACUACCGCUUCAUCGACUUGAAUAGUUACGUAACCGAUAACGGCACUACGGCGGGAUGUCCGGAAAAACGCUCCUACUGCAACUCGCGACCGUGCCGGAACGGUGGCGACUGCCACGAAGGAUGGUCCAUGUAUCAAUGUACCUGUCGAGAGGGAUACGGCGGACGUGACUGCAGUGAACUUAUAAGCCAACCGUGGAGAUUUUCGGGUGAUGGCACCUUAUCGUUUAACCCGCUCCUUCGUCCAAUUCAGCUACCUUGGCUGAACGCCUUAUCGGUGAGAACUCUACAACCGGAUACGUUUCUGAUGUCGGUUCAAGUGGGACAAAAUAGUUCGGCGGUUGUUUCGCUCAAAUCCGGGAUUCUACACUACAGCUAUAACGACGAAUCAUUAAAUUUGACCUCGAAAGUUUUAUCGGACGGAGAGUGGCACCGAAUCGAGGUGACAUGGAUUGGAACUGAAAUAAAGUUGUCGCUCGAUUAUGGCGAAAGGUCGGCGGUUAUAUCGUUCUCUGUCAAAAUUCAAGGGUUGUUUGUCGGUAAAAUCUUAAUCGGUGGACCGGAUAAUAGCUACAGCAGUUUAAACGCCGGCUACAAUUAUUUAGAAGGCUGUAUCCAGGACGUACGUAUCGGUAAUCAUCAGACCACACUGAGUAGGCCGACUGUCAGGGAUAAUGUAAUCGACGGGUGUGCUUCGUUGAUGGACUGCCAGAGGGACUGCCCGUCGACGGCGGAAUGCGUCGUCGAGUGGGGCGAUUCGUAUUGCGAGUGUAAAAAGGGGUAUCUCGGUCCGUUAUGCUUGCCAGUUUGUAAGAUGAGUCCUUGCGAAAAUACGGGCACUUGCGUGGAGAAUUAUUCCAAACCGAAGGGAUACGAAUGUAGGUGCAAUUCGACCGACUAUUCUGGAGAGUAUUGCGAGAAUAAGGUGUCGCAACCCUGCCCUGCCAGUUGGUGGGGCUAUCCCGUUUGUGGGCCCUGCAAUUGUGAUACAGACGCGGGGUACAAUCCAGAUUGUGAUAAGAAAAAUGGCCAUUGCUACUGCAGAGAAAAUUACUAUCAGCCACCGGAUACAAUACAGUGCAUUCCGUGUGAUUGCUACUUAACGGGGUCUUACAGUGCACAAUGCGAUCAUGCAACUGGGCAGUGUCGUUGUCGGGAAGGGGUUAUUGGGCAAAAAUGUGAUUCUUGCCCAAAUCCUUAUGCGGAAAUCACCUUGAGGGGCUGUGAAGUUAUAUACGACGGUUGUCCACGCAGCGCAUCAAAUGGCAUUUGGUGGCCUCGCACGAAUUUCGACAACGACGCCCUUGAGAAUUGCCCUAAGGGUUCCGUCGGCAAAGCGUCAAGAUCGUGCGAUAAUCUUCUGGGCGGGUGGCAGAAACCGGACAUGUUCAACUGCACUUCGGAUAAGUUUGUCGAGCUCCGAAACCAGUUAUCCUUAAUCGAGGAGGGAGAAUUAACGUUAAAUUCGUUCGUUGCGAUUAAGCUGGCGUCCGAUCUGCAGAAGGCCACAAAUUUAACUCUGAACUUGUACGGGGCGGAUGUGUUGAUCACGUACGAUCUCCUGCAAGAGUUGCUUAAGCACGAGUUCGCCAUGAAUGGGCUGAAUUUGACUCACAGUCAAGACAAGGACUAUGUUCACAAUUUAGUAACAUCCGCAAGCGCUGUGCUGGAUAACAAGUAUUUCUCCCACUGGAGUAGAAUUAAAGAACUAACAAGCGAAAGUGCUGAGCAUCUCGUUUCCGCUAUCGAAAAUUACAUUAACGUUCUGUCAUCUAGUCAACAUGAUACUUACACUAAUCCCUUUGAAAUCGUUUCCUCGAAUAUGAUUCUGGGGUUGGAUAUAAUAACACCCGAAUCCCUAUACGGGUAUGAAUCGGAUCACACCUCUCUAUUAUCGACUGUCACCGAACGGGUGGUGAUACCAGACACUUCGCAGUUUUUGCAAAACGCCGCCGGCACCUCGUCAUCGAACGGACCUACCGUCUCCUUCCCGAAAUACAACAAUUACAUUAAGGACGACUCAAAAUUCGACGUCCACUCGAAAGUCUUCGUACCACUGAAGCUACUGGGAAUUCAACCUUUGGAAAUGGGGGAGCUGUCCACCAAGCAUACCUUAUCCGAAAGUAAGGCGGUGUUCAGUUACGUUCAGUAUAAGGAAGCCGGCCUGUUGUUUCCAUCCACGUACGAUGACUCGGUUGUGCGACGUUGGGGUGUUGAUAUAGUGGUCGGUUCGCCUCUUAUCUCGAUUAGCAUUCUGGUACCGGAAUAUGUGCUGCCUAUUCGAAAACAACCCGAACCUAGGCCCAUAUUUGAAGAUUACAAGCCCAAAGACGAAGAACUAAUGAAGCAGCUCAAAAAGACGGUUAGCGAGCCGGAAGUGAAGAUGCACGAGAACGACGCUCAGUAUUACAAGUUUGAAACGCACAGAAUGAAGCGCGAUCAAAGCUCCACCAGGAAGCUGCUCUACAAAAGCUUGUCGGGGGUUUCCCUCUCGAUGCCCAUUCGAAUACAAUUCUGGUUGGACUCCAAUGUGACCGUUUUCAACGAACGUUCGAAUCCGCAAUGCGUGCAUUGGUCAAGUGCCAGAGGUCACGGCGAGUGGUCACGUGUGGGCUGUCGCACGGAUAUCGGAGAGGACUGGUUUGACGUGCUCGAAGACGGUCCAAUACUGGUCAACUGCAGUUGCAAUCACUUGUCUACUUUUGGGGUGCUUGUUGAUGUUGUCGAUUUAGAAUACAUCCCCGAACCCUCACUGUUGGAAGACAUUUCGAGCUACAGCUGCUUCUGCAUAUCUCUUCCUUUACUUCUCGCAACCUACCUCAUUCUGGCCUUAAUCAGAGGACUACAAACCAACUCGAACACAGUUAGAAAAAAUUUGAUUCUAUGCGUUUUGCUCGCCGAAUCGCUGUACUUCGUCACGCUCAAGGCGCGGAAAACGGUCGUAAGCAGUGAGUUCACCUGUAAAUUAAUAGCGAUCUCCCUCCAUUACUUGUGGCUGGCGGGUUUUUCGUGGAUGUUAGUCGACGCCUUGCAUUUGUAUAGAAUGCUGACCGAAAUGCGUGAUAUUAACCAUGGACCAAUGCGAUUUUAUUAUAGUGUAGGUUACGUAUUGCCCGCCGUUGUAGUUAGUCUGGCAGUCGGCGUGCGCGCGCAUCAGUACGGCAAUUACUACUUCUGUUGGGUUUCACUGUACGAGAGCGUAGUGUGGAGCCUCGUCGGACCAAUUUGCCUAUUGGUAUUCAUUAAUUUAAGCGUGUUAGUCUUUUCAAUACGUGCUGCGUUCACGUUACAAGAUCACGUGUUGGGAUUUGGAAAUUUAAGGACGCUGCUCUGGGUGUCUGUUGUCGCCUUACCACUGCUGGGGGCUACUUGGGUGUUGGCUCUGUUGGCGGCGUCAGAACGUUAUCCUUUGUUAACGCCUUUGCUGUCAAUCGCAGUUUUGACGCACGCGGUUUUUUCACUGGGGGGAUACUGUUUUGCCAAUACCAGAGUGAGGCAAAAUUUGUUGCGAUCGGUGAUGCGGUGCAUGGGGAAAAAGGUGCCAUUACUCGAAACGACAUCUACUGCUGCUGUAGUUAGUAGCAGCAGUCAUAAUAUUAGCGGACAAUCGAGAACAGCUAUGAAUUACCGCGGCGCAGGAUUUGACCUAAAUCGUAGGAACAUUGGAAUUUCGGCGUCUAGCACCACUUCCAGAUCAACUACAAAAACGGGGUCAAGUCCUUACAGAAGUGACAAUCAGCUACGGCAGACAUCGACGAGUACAUCAAAUUACAACUCGACUAGCGACGUGCCUUCUUAUAUGCACGGCUUCGAAAACGACACCGCCUUACAGCAUCACAGAAUUGCAGAGGAAGAGGAGCACCGUCGAGAGAGACGACCGCAGAGCGAUUCGGAUUCGGACGCGUCCGACGGCCGCAGCUUGGAGCUCGCGUCCAGCCACUCCAGCGAUGACGACGAGUCGAGCUCGAGGCGCCAUCGAACUCGAAACGCCGGUGUCAGCACGAUGCGGCAGGGAUACCUACCCAAUAUAACGGAGCAUGUCGCGUCGCGUUGCGGGACGCCGCCCUCGCUGAACGUCGUGACAAACUCGCAAUUGUUUCCCGCCAUUCAGCCGAUGUACGCGACGCGAUGGUCCAGCCAACUUCCCGAGGCUUAUCUGCACAACACUAAUUUACCGGAAGUUGGUCGUUGGUCUGCCGAAACGGGAUCGGACAACGAGUUCUGCCAGAAGACGAGCUCUCCCAAUCCCCUUCCGAAUCCCGACGUCACGCCGGAUACCUGCGUGCCCGCCAAUCACCCGGAACAGUACGUGGGAAGGAUGCACUACGAUCCGCACUACAUCAUGAACACGGAGCCCAAUCAGGCUUACAUGGGCAAAAUGAUGAUGCACCGCGAUAAGGAGUACGGCGAUUACGUCGAGGAUCACUGUUCCGAUCUCGAGGAGAAUAAGCAUCACAUCAACGAUAAAUAUUUAUUUCCCUAUACCGCCGAGGAGGAUCACCUAAAUGUGCAUAACUAUCCGCAGUCGGGUCGAAUGAUUUCCUCUGUUGGGAAUGACGUGAACCAUACAGGCGUCGACUAUCACGGUUCAAGGAUUGGUUCCCGUAUGGGAUCAGUUCUUGGUUCCGUGCACGAAUCGAUCUGUGGCAGUGUUAGAAGUUCUCCUUCUCCGCUUAUGCCACCUGUUUCGAUGAUGCACGCAACUCACCAUACGGAUCCUCCACACUAUUAAUAAUAUUUCUUGGAUAGAUGGUGUUGGGAAUAUACCAUUAACAAUUAAUCACAGGGAUCGCCAACGAUGAGGAGACAUCGGUAUGAAUUCCAACAGGACAGCUACACCAUCGAAUCCGUGUAUAUAUUCAAGAUGUUUACCGCUUAUUCAUUUCAUUUCGUGCUUCCAUUGUUCAUUUGAAAGGUCCCCUACUUCACCCACGCACGUUCAGUAAUUUAUUACGAGCUUCACUUUGCGGUAGAUGUCUUGUAUCUUCAGCUUUAUAAAUAUUGUGAAAAAUGCACUGAAAAUACGAAAGCUUUAAUAUUAGUAUAUUCUAAAUUGAAAGUAUAUCGGUAGCACUCAAUCUACUUUAAUAUUGAUGUAGAAUAUAUUGCAAAUUAUUGCGUUUUGACCAAGUGUUUAUAUAUACUACGUACUUUUAAUUUGCAACAAAUUGCCAUUUUGUGUAGUACAAUAGACAGUCGCUUAGAAAAGAAUGGACCUGUCAAGCUAAGUCAUUGCUGAUUGAAUAUGCGUUUGUUUCUUUGAGUAAAAUCUGCAGUAGAGUUUUCCACAAUGGUGCAAGUUUCAUCUAGAAACUUUUGUAAGUGUUUUCCAGACCUUUUGGCAGCUUUAUAGUUCUAGAACUUUUUGUUCACACAGGUCCAUUCUUUAUUGCCGGACGUACUGUACAAAGUUUUUUUUUAGUAAUUGAUGCGAGUUGCGCCGGUCUUCGACCAUUUGGUCCGGUGUACUGCCUUUAAACACCCGACUAAUGGAGGACACCGCAACCUACAUCAUUAAAAUUUUGUUUUAUUGACUGACUAGAGAUGUUAGUUGUCUUGUACUUAGCCAUUUGAAAGACUUACGUUUUAUAAUAUAUUAUACCCAAAAGUAUAUUCGAUAUUUUACAAAUACUCAGUAUUUUUCCAAAACCUUUUGGAAUAUUUUAGAAUAAUUUUGUUUAUAUACACUUUGUAUUUGAGAGAGAUAUUUUUAGUACUUAAAGCAGAACCCAGUGCCUGAAAUUUUUGUAUAUUAAUAGUUUGCUUUAGAAGCUAAUUUAAAAAUUAAGGGUCGCCCUCUAAUUUUUAAAUUGUAGAAUUAUCGUAAGAUCUCAUUUUAUAGUUUGUAGUGUUAAAUUGUACAACAACAACAAUACUGGGAUUGAAAUAACCAAAAUUGUGCAAUCUUAAACAUUCCUUAUGUAAUACAUUCCAUGUUUCUUAUACACUCAAGAUAAUUGUGAUUUUUUUUCAAAUAAAUACAUAUAG